GGGCUGGCUUUAGCCCAGCGGUUCCUUUGAGUGUGGCUUCCCAACCGCCUGGACUGAUUAGUCCGGUGGUUCAAGACCCGCGGGCGCUCUUCAGUCCUUUU
ensembl:misc_RNA Vault Vault RNA